rnacentral:rRNA from 1 species
GGGGAAUAUUGCACAAUGGGCGAAAGCCUGAUGCAGCAACGCCGCGUGAGUGAUGAAGGUCUUCGGAUUGUAAAGCUCUGUCUUUUGGGGACGAUAAUGACGGUACCAAAGGAGGAAGCCACGGCUAACUACGUGCCAGCAGCCGCGGUAAUACGUAGGUGGCGAGCGUUGUCCGGAUUUACUGGGCGUAAAGGGUGCGUAGGCGGAUGUUUAAGUGAGAUGUGAAAUACCCCGGGCUUAACUUGGGUGCUGCAUUUCAAACUGGAUAUCUAGAGUGCAGGAGAGGAGAAUGGAAUUCCUAGUGUAGCGGUGAAAUGCGUAGAGAUUAGGAAGAACACCAGUGGCGAAGGCGAUUCUCUGGACUGUAACUGACGCUGAGGCACGAAAGCGUGGGUAGCAAACAGGAUUAGAUACCCUGGUAGUCCACGCCGUAAACGAUGAGUACUAGGUGUAGGAGGUA